AAGAAAACCCUGGUGAAGAUCAAGAAAGCACGUACAUACAUGAACAAAAAGAUGCUUAUUAAGGGAUCGGAUGUGAUCAGCUAGAAUCAAGAUAUCCAAACAGGGGUGCUGUGAAUAUGCAGUAACUAGCUAGUUAAUUAAGAAAAUCAUGUCGACAAAGAUAAAUAAUGUAUCUCUCAGAAGAAAUUUGAGGUGUGGAAAAAUACCGUUGAAAAUUUAUGUUUUCUUGGAGUUCGGUUCCAGAUGCCACCUCCUCUAGCCUGCACUACCUUUCUUUGUUUUUUUACAAAUUCGUUGAAAAACAGAAUCGGGUGUUUAGUGUGAAAAUCUGACUGAAAAAGAGGGUUAAAAAAAAUACUACAAACAAAGUCGUGUUUCAUCUUUUCGAGGUUGAAAUUUUGGCAAUUUGGCUUUGCUUGUAGAGAGCUGCAAAGAAUAUUGAAGCUUGAUGUAGCUUUUCACUUUAUUUGUUGCAUGAGAGGAGUGAGUGUCUAGUAUCAAUAUGCUUUGAACUUGCUCCUUUUCCACAUUAAGACUGUCAUCAUAACCCAGCUCCUUACUCAUUAGCCCAUCCCUUCCUUUUUGAUGCCAAGUGGGUCAGUCAAGUGCUAUCCCACCAUGUGGAUCUGUUUCUCCUCAUCCUGUUCUUAGCCCAUAAUCUGAUACACGUACGCCAUUAAACUACUUCGUGGCUCAUAUUCCAUGCGGGUUUGCUCUGCAUGAGAAUUGAGCAAAGUAGCAAAGCCACCAUGUGAAUGAAUUUAGGUCCUUGGCAAGUAGUCCUUGUUCAUUACCAUAUGCUCUGUUGAACACUUGAACCAGUAAUAAUCUGUGAACUGCUAACCCUUUUGUCUCAUAUAUAGUGAGAUCUGACCAUGAGAAUCAACUAUCUACUUCACAUGUUUGAUUUUCUGACUCGAAGAGGUAAUGGAGAAUCCAUAUAAAAUAGAGGCCAGCUGAUGAAAUUGAUUGCAUAAAUGGGUGAAGGGACAAAACAAAGAAUUGCAUUGGAUAGGGGAUACGCUGUAAGAGUCACUAUCAAGAUGAUUCAUUCAUCAAGAACAUAGACUGGAGGGAAUGGAAAUAUAAUCUCUGCUAGUCCUUAAUUUACUACA